UACGGGGGGGGCAAGCGUUGUUCGGAAUCAUUGGGCGUAAAGGGCGCGUAGGCGGCUUUGUAAGUCCGUUGUGAAAUCCCUCGGCCCAACCGAGGAACUGCGACGGAUACUGCUUGGCUUGAGUCCCGGAGAGGGUAGCGGAAUUCCCAGUGUAGCGGUGAAAUGCGUAGAUAUUGGGAGGAACAUCGGUGGCGAAGGCGGCUACCUGGACGGGUACUGACGCUGAGGCGCGAAAGCCAGGGGAGCAAACGGG
rnacentral:rRNA from 1 species